rnacentral:rRNA from 1 species
ACUCCUACGGGAGGCAGCAGUGGGGAAUAUUGCACAAUGGGGGAAACCCUGAUGCAGCCAUGCCGCGUGUGUGAAGAAGGCCUUCGGGUUGUAAAGCACUUUCAGUAGGGAGGAAGGUAGUGUAGUUAAUACCUGCAUUAUUUGACGUUACCUACAGAAGAAGCACCGGCUAACUCCGUGCCAGCAGCCGCGGUAAUACGGAGGGGUGCGAGCGUUAAUCGGAAUUACUGGGGCGUAAAGCGCAUGCAGGCGGCCUGUUAAGUCAGAUGUGAAAGCCCGGGGGCUUAACCUCGGAAUUGCAUUUGAAACUGGCAGGCUAGAGUCUUGUAGAGGGGGGUAGAAUUUCAGGUGUAGCGGUGAAAUGCGUAGAGAUCUGAAGGAAUACCAGUGGCGAAGGCGGCCCCCUGGACAAAGACUGACGCUCAGAUGCGAAAGCGUGGGGAGCAAACGAGGAUUAGAUACCCUGGUAGCACAGAG